rfam:Theileria equi strain WA gcontig_1105316255047 apicoplast, whole genome shotgun sequence.
CAGAUUAUGGUGUAAUUUUGGAUAACACAUUCGUUUUGGGUAUGAAAGAUAUUGGUUCGAGUCCAAUUAUUUUGA